rfam:Nelumbo nucifera unplaced genomic scaffold scaffold00013, whole genome shotgun sequence
UUGUUUGCGGAUGUAGCAUCAUCAAGAUUCACAUGUAAAUACAUGGCGGUUAAGUAAUAAUCUCUGCCCGAGUUCUGAACUGAGAAUCUUGAUGAUGCUGCAUCGGCAAUAAG